rnacentral:rRNA from 1 species
UACGGAGGGUGCAAGCGUUGUUCGGAAUUAUUGGGCGUAAAGGGCAGGUAGGUGGUCUUGUAAGUCUACUGUGAAAUCCCCGGGCUUAACCUGGGAAGUGCGGUGGAUACUGCAGGACUAGAGUGCUGGAAGGGUGCGUGGAAUUCCCGGUGUAGCGGUGAAAUGCGUAGAUAUCAGGAGGAACACCUGUGGUGUAGACAGCUUACUGGACCAUUUCUGACGCUGAGACACGAAAGCGUGGGUAGCAAACAGG